rnacentral:rRNA from 1 species
UGAUUCUUCGGAUGAAGUCUCUUGUGACUGAGUGGCGGACGGGUGAGUAACGCGUGGGUAACCUGCCUCACACAGGGGGAUAACAGUUGGAAACGACCGCUAAUACCGCAUAACCCGCUGGUGCCGCAUGGCACUGACGGAAAAGAUUUUAUCGGUGUGAGAUGGACCCGCGUCUGAUUAGCCAGUUGGCAGGGUAACGGCCUACCAAAGCGACGAUCAGUAGCCGGCCUGAGAGGGUGAACGGCCACAUUGGGACUGAGACACGGCCCAGACUCCUGCGGGAGGCAGCAGUGGGGAAUAUUGCACAAUGGGGGAAACCCUGAUGCAGCGACGCCGCGUGAGUGAAGAAGUAUUUCGGUAUGUAAAGCUCUAUCAGCAGGGAAGAAAAUGACGGUACCUGAUUAAGAAGCCCCGGCUAACUACGUGCCAGCAGCCGCGGUAAUACGUAGGGGGCAAGCGUUAUCCGGAUUUACUGGGUGUAAAGGGAGCGUAGACGGUGAUGCAAGUCAGAAGUGAAAGCCCGGGGCUCAACUCCGGGACUGCUUUUGAAACUGUGUGACUGGAGUGCAGGAGAGGUAAGCGGAAUUCCUGGUGUAGCGGUGAAAUGCGUAGAUAUCAGGAGGAACACCAGUGGCGAAGGCGGCUUACUGGACUGUAACUGACGUUGAGGCUC